rnacentral:rRNA from 1 species
UGUACCUUGUUGCUUCGGUGCGCCCGCCUCACGGCCGCCCGGGGGCUUCUGCCCCCGGGUCCGCGCGCACCGGAGACACUAUUGAACUCUGUCUGAAGAUUGCAGUCUGAGCAUAAACUAAAUAAGUUAAAACUUUCAACAACGGAUCUCUUGGUUCCGGCAUCGAUGAAGAACGCAGCGAAAUGCGAUAACUAAUGUGAAUUGCAGAAUUCAGUGAAUCAUCGAGUCUUUGAACGCACAUUGCGCCCCCUGGUAUUCCGGGGGGCAUGCCUGUCCGAGCGUCAUUGCUGCCCUCAAGCACGGCUUGUGUGUUGGGCUCCGUCCCCCCGGGGACGGGUCCGAAAGGCAGCGGCGGCACCGAGUCCGGUCCUCGAGCGUAUGGGGCUUUGUCACCCGCUCUGUAGGCCCGGCCGGCGCCAGCCGACAACCAAUCAUCCUUUUUUCAGGUUGACCUCGGAUCAGGUAGGGAUACCCGCUGAACUUAAGCAUAUCAAUAA